rnacentral:lncRNA from 1 species
ACAAUACCUAGACCUAGAGAAGAGGAAGAGCGGGGAUUCCAAAAAUGGAAAAAAGAGCACCAUCCGAUACAGUAGCUAAAGUUUUUAGUCAUUUUUAUUUUCUCGUACGCAAAGGCAAAAAGGAGACCCAAAAAUCGAGAUGGCCACUCUUGGAUUUCAGAAACACACAGACGACAAAGAACGUACGCUUUUUCUGAAGAACAAAAAUCGAGAUUGCUAUUCUUCAAUUUUGUACAUAGACACUAUUCUGAUCUACACCGAAAUCGGAAGCAUCACUCGAGGUCGUCGGCGAGAUUUUUG